CUCAAUUGGAAUCUUGACCUCAUAGCUCACACAGAGAAUCAGCCUCUGAAAUCCCCUCCCCCAAUUCUACAGGGUCUCCAUGCUGCCAGCCCUGCUCAAAAAAAUAGCAAGAAGGAGACUAAUUUAUUAGCUGUUAAUGCUGUUAGGCAAUAAUCCCAAGCUCCGAGUUGCACAAAUCCAGUUGGAAGAGAUGGAAAUGUGAAGUGGUCAUCCGGACAAAGCCGUCAAGUUCAGAAAAAUAGAUGGUUCAUGAGAAGUUUGCAGACGUCAAACCAACGGUAAAGUUCAGUGGAUGUUUACAAAAGAAGAGUAUAGCCUGACGGAGAGGUAUUUUCUGUGGUGUUGAAGCUAGUGCUUUGAGCAUGAGGAAAUGGUUAAGAGCCAGGCUCUGUACAGCUCUUCUGUGAGUGAAAUCUCCAAGUCACAGCAGGAAAUCUGAGUCAAGACAGGGAAGGUGGAGAUGACAAGGGAAGUGCUAGCUGAUGCUGAGGCAGAGUGGACUUGGUAAGAUCGAUGGGCCCGGCAAGCAUGUGGGACAUGGAGCAGUCAGAAGCUCCUAUCUUUGGAUGGGAAGCCUCAGGGAAGACGAAGGAGCUCCAAGCAGGUCGUGAGGAUCAGAGCUGUGCUUACAUCAGCUUUUUGGCGGAUGGAUCAGUUUACACAGUAAACUGUGAACUGCAGAAUGCACACCAGAAGAGGACAUC
rnacentral:sRNA from 1 species